AAAAGAAAGUAAAGUGGUUUACCAAAAGUCAAACCGCUGGUAAGCUGCAAAGAUGGGGCUCAAAACCAGGUUUUUAAAAAAUAUAUAGGCCAGGUGCAGUGGCUCACACCUGUAAUCCCAACACUUUGGGAGGCUGAAGUGGGAGGAUUGCUUGAGGCCAGGAGUUUGAGACCAACCUGAGCAAUGUAGCAAGACAUCAUCUUCACAAAAAUAUUUAAUACAUAAAAUAAAAAAAUAUAUAUAUAUCAAAUCCUACAUCUAGGCCCAGGAGUUGCCCACUUCAGAUUGAGCUAGGACUCACCCAGCUGGCACCACCAGUUUGGACAGAAUGAGAGAUCUCCAGUAUCUGCCCCCAAGUAUAUUCCCAGGGUCCACACAGCUCCAGUCCAGCCCACAGGCAUCUGCUUGUAGUCCCCGCUCCCUCAUCACCCUCCCACUCCCCACCUCAGGUGGACUACUUCCCACUGACAGAGCAGAAGUUCUCGCUGUUGGUGGACAGCCAGUUGGACUCACCCAAGGCCUUGUAUCUAGGGCGUGUGAUGGAGACAGGAGUCAUUGACCCGGAGAUCCAGCGCUACAACACCCCAGGUUUUUCGGGCUGCCUGUCUGGUGUUCGAUUCAACAAUGUGGCUCCCCUCAAGACCCACUUCCGAACCCCUCGACCCAUGACUGCUGAGCUAGCUGAAGCCCUUCGAGUUCAGGGAGAACUGUCCGAAUCUAAUUGCGGAGCUAUGCCACGUCUUGUUUCAGAGGUGCCACCUGAGCUUGAUCCCUGGUAUCUGCCCCCAGACUUCCCGUACUACCAUGAUGAAGGAUGGGUUGCCAUACUUUUAGGCUGUGAGUAGCACUGAUCACUAAGCUGACCUCCCAAGACUGCCCUCUGUCAGCAUCCUUUCCCUGCCCCGAUCCCAAGGCUGCAGGAUGACAAAGGCACUAGAUGCAUGAUGGCACAAAGGAUGAUAAGACAGGCUAUUCUGAAGGUGUCAUAUAACUGGGCAGAGAUUUUUAAAUGUUUGAGGAUGCUACAGAUUUUUAAAUAAAAUAUUAAAAUGGGGCUAUAGCUAAGGGAUGGGAAAAUGGGGAUACAGUAACACCUAGAGAGAUGAGAAAUUGGGGUUACUACCAGGGAUGUGGAAAGAGAAUAUUAGAAACAGAAGGUGGCAGGGGGUAAGCCAGGAAUUCAAACCUGCCAGACACUUGAGAUGAGCUUAGUGUGGUCGAACAGCUAGCUGAGUGUCAUACAUUAUGCUUUUGGCCAAAAGUAAGUGUGUGUGUGUGUGUGUGUGUGUGUGUGUGUGUGUGCAGGUGAAAUCCCAAAGAGUGUGUGUAUGUGUGUAUACAGGUGAGAUCCCAAAGUAUGUGUGUGUGUGUGUGUAUACAGGUGAGAUCCCAAAGUAUGUGUGUGUGUGUGUACAGGUGAGAUCCCAAAGUAUGUGUGUGUGUGUGUAUACAGGUGAGAUCCCAAAGUAUGUGUGUGUGUGUGU
rnacentral:lncRNA from 1 species